AGAUGCCUGCACCAACCUGGA
rnacentral:misc_RNA from 1 species